CAGUCGCCGCGGUAAUACGGAGGGGGCUAGCGUUGUUCGGAAUUACUGGGCGUAAAGCGCACGUAGGCGGCUUGGUAAGUUAAAGGUGAAAGCCCAGGGCUCAACCCUGGAAUUGCCUUUAAGACUGCCGAGCUAGUAGGUGAGAGAGGUAAGUGGAAUUCCGAGUGUAGAGGUGAAAUUCGUAGAUAUUCGGAAGAACACCAGUGGCGAAGGCGGCUUACUGGCUCAUUCUAGACGCUGAGGUGCGAAAGCGUGGGGAGCAAACAGGAUUAGAUACCCCCGUAGUCCUGUCUCUUAUACC
rnacentral:rRNA from 1 species